rnacentral:rRNA from 1 species
AUUCAUGCCGGUGUGUGAAGAAGGCCUAUGGUUGUAAAGCACUUAAUGCGAGGAGGACGGCUACUGAGUUAAUACCUAGAGAUAGUGGACGUUACUCGCAGAAUAAGCAGCCGGCUAACUCUGUGCCAGCAGCCGCGGUAAUACAGAGGGUGCAAGCGUUAAUCGGAUUUACUGGGCGUAAAGCGCGCGUAGGCGGCUAAUUAAGUCAAAUGUGAAAUCCCCGAGCUUAACUUGGGAAUUGCAUUCGAUACUGGUUAGCUAGAGUGUGGGAGAGGAUGGUAGAAUUCCAGGUGUAGCGGUGAAAUGCGUAGAGAUCUGGAGGAAUACCGAUGGCGAAGGCAGCCAUCUGGCCUAACACUGACGCUGAGGUGCGAAAGCAUGGGGAGCAAACAGGAUUAGAUACCCUGGUAGUCCAUGCCGUAAACGAUGUCUACUAGCCGUUGGGGCCUUUGAGGCUUUAGUGGCGCAGCUAACGCGAUAAGUAGACCGCCUGGGGAGUACGGUCGCAAGACUAAAACUCAAAUGAAUUGACGGGGGCCCGCACAAGCGGUGGAGCA